GCAUCAAUGGUCUAAUGGUUAGGAUUCGACCCUUCCACUAUAGUGCUAGGUUGAGGUCCGCGUUCGAUUCGCGGUUGAUGCA